rnacentral:rRNA from 1 species
GUACGGCCGCAAGGUUAAAACUCAAAGAAAUUGACGGGGGCCCGCACAAGCGGUGGAGCAUGUGGCUCAAUUCGAUGCAACGCGAAGAACCUUACCUGGUCUUGACAUGCACGUAGUAGAAGGGUGAAAGCCUGACGAGGGAGCAAUCCCAGCGUGCACAGGUGCUGCAUGGCUGUCGUCAGCUCGUGCCGUGAGGUGUUCGGUUAAGUCCGGUAACGAGCGCAACCCCUGUGCUUAGUUGCAACCGCCGAUGUGAAUCGGCGGGCACUCUAAGCAGACUGCCCUGUGAAACGGGGAGGAAGGUGGGGAUGACGUCAAGUCAGUAUGGCCCUUACGACCAGGGCUGCACACGUGCUACAAUGCCCGGCACAGAGGGAAGCAAAUCCGCAAGGAGGAGCAAAUCCCCAAAAACCGGGCCCAGUUCGGAUCGAAGGCUGCAACUCGCCUUCGUGAAGCCGGAAUCGCUAGUAAUGGCGUAUCAGCUACGACGCCGUGAAUACGUUCCCGGGCCUUGUACACACCGCCCGUCACGUCCGGAAAGCCGUCUGUACCCGAAGUCACUCCAAAACAGUGCCGAAGGUAUGAGUGGUGAUUUGGACG